UCCUCACUGCCACCGCCUCUUCCGCCGGGAAAUUACUUUGGUUCAUUCACGUUUCAUCUUCACUUCUGAGAGUAUCAGCAAAGGAGAUAACUGAAGUUGCGAUUUAAGGAAAUGGCGGAAGAGCAGGAGAAAACCAAAGAAAAACUCAAGCAAAAUCCUAAAAAACGCAGAAAGCAUGCUUUUCCCUAUGGCAAUUAUCGAGAUUACUAUGGCUACAGGGUAGGUCAAAAAGUGGUUGAAGAUCCUCG
rnacentral:misc_RNA from 1 species